UCUGGAAGACACGCAAACUAAAAUUC
rnacentral:piRNA from 1 species